GGGUGAUUGGCUCCGGUAGUCUGUCGACCACAUCGCCUCGGCAUAUUAUCAACGAUAUCGAAGGGUUCUGAUAAUUCUAAUGCCGAUUGGUACAUCUCAUUCCAAACUGAUGAACCGUACGUACACUGUAAAAUGUGCUCCAAAACUACAUGUCUUAGACUGGGUAUUAAAAAUUCAAAUCUUAUUAAAGGUACAAGUUACUGUCCGAUUUUGUCAUAAUCU
rnacentral:lncRNA from 1 species